rnacentral:tRNA from 1 species
GUUGUGAUAGUCAAGUGGUUAAAGCAUUGGACUAGAAAUCUAAUAGGGUUUCCCUGUGCAGGUUCAAAUCCUGCUCACGAGG